GAUGAACGCUGGCGGUAUGCUUAACACAUGCAAGUCGAACGGACUCUUCGGAGUUAGUGGCGGACGGGUGAGUAACGCGUGAGAAUCUGGCUUUGGGUUCGGGACAACCACUGGAAACGGUGGCUAAUACCGGAUGUGCCGAGAGGUAAAAGAGAAAUUGCCUGAAGAUGAGCUCGCGUCUGAUUAGCUAGUCGGUGAGGUAAAGGCUCACCAAGGCAGCGAUCAGUAGCUGGUCUGAGAGGAUGACCAGCCACACUGGGACUGAGACACGGCCCAGACUCCUACGGGAGGCAGCAGUGGGGAAUUUUCCGCAAUGGGCGAAAGCCUGACGGAGCAAUACCGCGUGAGGGAAGAAGGCUCUUGGGUUGUAAACCUCUUUUCUUAGGGAAGAACAAAAUGACGGUACCUAAGGAAUCAGCAUCGGCUAACUCCGUG
rnacentral:rRNA from 1 species